CACAGGAACCUCUGCACUUAGACUCCCACCUCCCCUGGGCCCCCCUUGCACCUGGCUCCUGUCCGUCUUCUCCCGGGAAACCCUGACACUGGCAUUUUGACACAGCUAUUUCCCAAAUGUGGUGAUCCUCGUUAUCAGACUGCACAGCCUGACUAUUUUGGGAACAGGAUGGGUUCCCCUCCCUCAUGACUCAGUUUACCCAUCACCGUCUCUCUGAGGCCCCCUGAAGGCUGUGUAUACAGUACACAGGCUGUUGCAGGGGUGGACAUUUGGCCUGGUGGUUAAGAGGCUGCUUCUAAUCCUGUUCCCCCUCUCAGAGUGCCCACGUUCGAUCCCCGGAUCUGGCCCUUGGUUCCAGCUUCCUACCAGUAAAGACCCUGGGAAGCAACAGGUGAUGGCUCAAGUAAUCAGCUCUCAACCACCCCCAACUGAGACCUGGGUGGAGUUCUCAGCUCCUGGCUUUGGUUGUGGGCCUCAGGGGGCAGUAAAUCAACGCAUGGGAGCAGUCUCUUUCUCAAAUCCCAAAAACGUAUGAAAUCAAAGAAAUGAAACGCACCUCUGUUGAGCCACAGUCUCCGUCAGGAGACCAGUGUUAUGUUCUCAGCAUUCCCUCCCUGGUGAUGAAGCCAAGGGGAGGGACCAGGCUUUGUGCAUCUCAGCUCCCCUGGCACCAACAGGAACCUGGUCAUCGAAACAGACUCGCAUGGACAGGCCAUUGCUUGCCUUGUGCAAGUAAUCCGGGGCACUCUUCUGGCUGUUCUGCUGAUCCUGGGAGCUGGAUUAUUCCUUUGGAGGACCCGUGGGAGGAAGAAGAAGGAGACUGGAAGAGGCAGGUUGCCUUUCUUCUUUCAGGCCCCUAUCCCUUUCCUUCCAUGGAGGUCCCUUCACCUGCGUUUUGCUGCCUGGAAGUGGGCCUGCCGCGGAGAUGAUGGGGUGACCAUGAACUGGGGUCCAUGACAUGAGGAGGGUUACAGUCCCCCAGGCAUAGGAUCAACCUUCAGUGUGUGUGAUGCAGGGGCAGCCCUGCAGUGGGACCGCAGGGGUGAUGGAGGUGGCAUCCACUCUGCACAGCUGAUGGAGGAGGAGACUCAGGAUGGCCAGGAGAAGGUGAGAGCUGGCAGGUGUGACCAGCCUGGACACCUGCAUGUCUCUGAGUGCCUAGCCCUGGGCCCCCUGAACUCAGAAACCUGCUGUUUCUGUCUCCAUUCUCUUUUCACUGUUUUGUAGUACUAGGAGUUUGCACUAAUAGAAUUUACAGUUGAUCACUAUGGUGCCCCAUGCUUUGGGGAAAUUGACAAAUGGUGCAUGUCUGUGGGUAUUUCUCCGGGGCCUCUCUAUCUCAGCUGCUCCACCUGCCCUCCGACUUGCAUUCUCAGGGUGGAGGUGAACAACAAGGAACCUAUCAUUAACAUCCACAACAAGGCUAGAAAUCUAGGUCUGGCCUUGAAGAUCAUCAGAUUGGCGGCAGCAGAUUUUGCCAUGCCUAGGACACCUACUAUCUGAGCCUGAUCCUUUAGGUCCCUUCCUUUGUAGCUCUUAGCCCGCGCCAGUAUCCUGGUUUGUCUUCGCCUGGCCUGGUGGCCACAGCUCUCAGGCACCCCAGGCCUGUGAGUUCCUCUGCUUGUGUUCGCAAGCUGCCCUCGCACUCAGGAUCCUCACACCCGCCUGGUGAGGGCUCUUCCCUCGGCAUUACCGUGACUCCUGACUCUUUUCUUCCAGGUGCCUCCCCAUAGGGUGCCUGCCUGACUGUACACGAGGCCAGUCCCCCAUUGCCUCUGCUGUGUCACCGGUGUGUGUCUUUUUGAGAGCACGAGACCCAGUGUGGGGAUACUGUGGAGGCAUUGACCGCGCUGGAGGAGCUGAGUUCUGGAUCCUGAGUUGGAAGAUGAUGGAAGCAAUGUGGGUGGUUGGGAACUGGCAAAGGAGUGGCCUGAAACUUCCUUUGCAGACCUUGCAUAGGGCUCCCUUGGGGGUGUUGGGCAGUGUGUGUGUGUGUGUGUGCGUGUGUGUGUGCGAUUGUGGUAGUGUCUACUGCACAUUGUGUACCUGGGCUGGAGCUCUUUUCCUUUGGCAUGUGUGCUAAUGUCACGCUGCCUCCGCCUCAGCUCGUGGCUUCCUGGGCAGUGGGAAGAGAAGUCUGUGCUGUCUCUGGCCCUUUCCAGAUGCGUGUCUCCCAGAGAACAACCCUGGGAAGCAGUCAGGAGUUUUCUUAGGAAAACAGCCUCAGCUCACCCUGAUCUCCAAUUCUGGCAGCUGGUGGUGAGAACAGGUGUGCAGUGUCACCGCACACCCUCUGGUGGGUGCUGCUGUGUCCUCUGGCGGGUAAUGCUAGGGGAAGGUGUGACCUGAUCAUCUUGGCCUCUCCACUUAGCUGCAGUGCCUGAGCCUGCUGGCCCCAAGCCCUAAUGCAGCCUUUUUGUUGCUCACUCUAACACUGCCCGGUUUGGCUCUGCGACUUCCAGUGACUUUGCUUGACCCAGAGGUCUGAACUGAGGAUUCUCCCCCUCGUGAUAUCCCUCCCCUCAGUGCCUGAGGACCUGAUGUAGCCCGUUUGCAUCCUGCUGUAUGGAUGCUCCUUUUCUGCAUGGGGGUCCUCACUUGCUUGGAUCCUCUUCCUCCUGCCUUUGGCCCUGGGGUUCGCAUCACAGUUAAGCUGACUGAUGAGCUAGGCUCCUGAGUCUUGAUUCUUCCAGUUCGGCUGAGCUUCCUCAGAUCUGACUCCAGAAAUCAAAUGUCUGAACAGGGUCCCUGCUAAGGGCUAUGAUCCAAUGCUUGUGACCUGCUGAUGGUGGAUGAGUGAGUGAGGGCAGAAUAGGGCUCUGUCUCCGACUUCUUGUUCUCAGACUAAGCAUAAAUCUGAUGAUGUGAAAGAUACCAUAUCCUCACUGACAGGUGACCAGUCAUAGCUGGGCAUCAACACCUAUCAGCCCAAUGUAAGCUGUGACCACCCAUUGACAGUUCCCACUACACCUAAAGCAGAAAAAAAUAAGGAAAAUAAAAAAUAAGGAAAAAAUUUUUAAAAAAGAGAA
ensembl:lncRNA